ACGGGGGAAUUGGGGUGGGGGGUGAGAAACAGGAUGAGAGAAUUAGGAUUGUGAAACAGUGGGAGAGUCAGACACAAUGGGGUGUUGUAAUACAACAGGGGGCUCUGAGAGUCUUAUUGGGGGGCUGUGAGGAUCAUUACAGGGGCUUUGAAAAUUGUAGUGGGGCUGUGAGAGUUGCAGUGGGGGACUCAGAGAUGUAACAGGCUCUGCGAGAGUUGUAAUGAGGGGCUGUGAGAAAUGUACGGGGGCUCUGGGAGUUGUGAUGGGGCUGUGAGGAAAGGGGCUGUGAGACUCAGUGCUGGGCUGGGGGAGUUGGAACAGGGAGCUGUGAGACAGGACGGGUUGCACUGCAAGGGCAGGGUCCUGCUGGCAUGGCUCAAAGGGGCUUCACCCAGCCAGGGGGUUCCUGCUGACCCCCAAACCUACAGCUCCCCCUAAUCCCAUAGGGAUUCCAAAAUCCUGGGGCACAAGCUGCCUUCAUCCCCAGGUGAGCACACACCCAGCCGUGGCCACUGGGCAGACAGGGACGAUGUGUCACCCUGAGACACUCCCUCCUCAAAGCAGGGUGUCCCAAGUUGUACUUCAUCCAACAGACCAGGGACCUGGCUGCCCUGAAAACCACGCAGGAGAAACUCCCACUGUGGGAAGGAUUCACCUCCCGCUCCCCCCCGGGGCUGGCACGGCUCCUUAAUUAACGUGGGGUGAAGAAAUUGCCCGUUGCCAAUAUCACCCGUCUCUAGUUGCCUGACAUGUCACACCAGCUCUGCAACGUACAACUAGACAUUUUUUAACCCACAAGAUCUUCUUUUCCACCAAAACAUGCCAUUACACUGAUAAGACACCUAUUUCUAUGUCCCGAAAUGAAAAUCAGAUCCCAUUGUGAGACUCUGAGCAGCUUGAGGCCAGGAUAAAACACACACCCACAGCCACGAGUGUUGGUGUUUAAAGCCUUCACUGCUUCCACCACAGAGCAAACCCAUAUUUCAGUAUUUUCCAUGGCCAAAGUCUCCUGAUGACGUUUUGGUAUUGAUCAAACCCAUGUUUUAUUUGUCAGAGCUGCCUUUUGCCACCCAAUCCGGGCGGACACCGUAACCUUCCGGCAACAAGUCCACCUCGCUACUGGUCAAAGUCACUGAGCUGCAGUGGCUUAACAAACAUGCAAAUCUCCUGAUUUAAUCACAUCUCUGACGCACAUGGACUCGAUCCGUGGUGCCCCGAGCCUUAUCCUCAACUCCAGUGCCUGCAAGCCCAUCCUUCGGCAGCCCCGUGCCUCAGUUUCCCCAGUGAUGAUGGGCUCUGCCAACCUGGGAUCUACUGAUUAAUUAAAAACCCCAACAACUCCUUGCACGCAAGCCAUCUAUUAUUCAAAACGUGCGAUGGAGCCACGUGUGCACAAGAAAAUGUGCUGCCAGCACGCUCCGCCGGUGCUUCCAGUGUGGAACCAGGCUCAGCUUUCCAUUUUUUUACCCGGUGGGACACCCAAGGAGCAGUUUGUACGUGUCUCUACCUUUAAGGGGCUCUCCAUUCCGGAGAGGAAAAACCCAAACCAAAACCACCAAAAAAUCAAACAGCUUUUCCGUGAUAAAUUCUCCCCCUCUGAUGGAGUGCGCUUGCUGCAACUGUAAUUCCAACUGUUCCUUCUCCCUGCUGGGGUGGCAUCUCCGAGGGACAUGAGGCAACCACACCAGCUCCCAGGUCCUUCCAGGGAAUCUCACACGGAGUCGCUGCUGUCACCCGGCCAUCUCACAGGACAGGCAGGCGCUGGGAGCUGUCACAAACAAAGCCAUCGACUCUGUUGACAGGAGAGGGUUGAGACGAGUGCCAGGAGGGUUCCAUUUACACAACAGCCAGCUGGAAGAGCAGCACAAAGCUCAGCUGGUGACGCAAAACAAAGCUCUGGACCAUGGUGAUGGUCUUCAAAUGCUUUGCAGGGAAGCUGUUCCUAGCUGCAGCUGCACCAGUGAUGCUGCUGUAACCAGAUCCCCCCAGCUCAGUCGAAGAUUUUAAAGAACACAGACCCAGGCUGGAGAGCAGAGCAGGUAUAACCCCCGCCUCAGCAGGCCAGAGGGGCUGUGACGAAGGAUCAGCACCAUCCUUGCAUCUGCAGAGCAGACACACAUUUGUUCCAGCCCAGUGUCCUGCCAUGAGUGACAGCGUGAGGAGCACCCAGGGGUGAGACACGGCUGCACUGCCCUGCGUGCUGCCCUUGCCAGGGCCAGACAGCUGAGGACAAGGGGACUUCAGCUGCUCCCCAUGACCCUCGGCCUUUGGGACACACACUGCAAAAAACUAUUUAAAUGACUCCUGGGAGGGUGUAGCUGAGAGCCUGGCUAUCUCCGGACAACUCAGCCAGCCCCACAGUUAAAACAUUUGGAUGUUUCUUAUCAGUGCUUAGAGAGGAUUAAAGUGCCAGGCCAUUUAUUAGGGAGGGAGCAGGUUAUAAACCUAUCUCAGCUUGAACACCGCGUUCAUGUCAGGAAAAGCAAGGCAAGAACGGGACAGAUCAAAAGAGAGCCAUUAAAGGCGUGAGAAAAUGGGGCUGCCAUAUAAGGAGCUAAUAAAGUUAGCAGCUCUCCAGUUUGAAGGGAAAAAAAAGUGCAGGAGAAGUGGAAAACAUCCUUGGGGUUCACACAGCAGCCUCUCUUUGAGGAGGGAAAACCAAUAAAUAAAAGUGGGCAGACACAAUGCUUCAAAAGGCAGGUUUAUCCAUUUUGAACACGGCGGAGCUGCCACGCAUGGCUGAGAAUGCUCACCAAACAUUUCAAACAGCAAAGAUUAGAUACUGAACAAGGACAGCAACCAGGGCUCAUUGGCUCAGACCACAGCUUCCUACCUGGCUCAGGACACAUCUCUGUGCGGUGUGUAGGGAAAGGGGGACAUUACACCUCUCCCUGGCUACAUCAGCUGGGAUUCACGGGGAUCUGGGCAGGAACACCAGGGUUCUCCCCACCACCAGGGCACAGCCAGUUCCUUUGCUUUCUGUACAAAACCAGGAGGUUUCCCAGCAAAGAGCCCCAAGAAACACUCAGUGUUCCUUUCUUUGAGCCAGCCAGCUCCAGCCACCAUCUUGUCAGGAUAAAAUGUAUUUACA